rnacentral:tRNA from 1 species
GGGGGUGUAGUUCAGUUGGUCAGAACGCCGGCCUGUCACGCCGGAGGUCGCGGGUUCGAGCCCCGUCGCUCCCGCCA